AGAACGAACGCUGGCGGCGUGGAUAAGACAUGCAAGUCGAACGCGACUUAUCGUGAUAGCAAUAUCAUGGUAAGUUGAGUGGCGAAAGGGUGCGUAACACGUGGGAAAUUACCAAGAAGUGGGGAAUAGCUCGACGAAAGUCGAAUUAAUACCGCAUAUGAUCGCAAGAUCAAAGCCGGGGACCGCAAGGCCUGGCGCUUUUUGAGAUGCCCGCGGCCCAUCAGCUAGUUGGCGGGGUAACGGCCCACCAAGGCUAUGACGGGUAGCUGGUCUGAGAGGACGACCAGCCACACUGGAACUGAGACACGGUCCAGACACCUACGGGUGGCAGCAGUCGAGAAUUUUUCACAAU
rnacentral:rRNA from 1 species